rnacentral:rRNA from 1 species
GGCUCAGAUUGAACGCUAGCGGGAUGCCUUACACAUGCAAGUCGAACGGCAGCACGGACUUCGGUCUGGUGGCGAGUGGCGAACGGGUGAGUAAUGUAUCGGAACGUGCCUAGUAGCGGGGGAUAACUACGCGAAAGCGUAGCUAAUACCGCAUACGCCCUACGGGGGAAAGCAGGGGAUCGCAAGACCUUGCACUAUUAGAGCGGCCGAUAUCGGAUUAGCUAGUUGGUGGGGUAACGGCUCACCAAGGCGACGAUCCGUAGCUGGUUUGAGAGGACGACCAGCCACACUGGGACUGAGACACGGCCCAGACUCCUACGGGAGGCAGCAGUGGGGAAUUUUGGACAAUGGGGGAAACCCUGAUCCAGCCAUCCCGCGUGUGCGAUGAAGGCCUUCGGGUUGUAAAGCACUUUUGGCAGGAAAGAAACGUCAUGGGUUAAUACCCCGUGAAACUGACGGUACCUGCAGAAUAAGCACCGGCUAACUACGUGCCAGCAGCCGCGGUAAUACGUAGGGUGCAAGCGUUAAUCGGAAUUACUGGGCGUAAAGCGUGCGCAGGCGGUUCGGAAAGAAAGAUGUGAAAUCCCAGAGCUUAACUUUGGAACUGCAUUUUUAACUACCGAGCUAGAGUGUGUCAGAGGGAGGUGGAAUUCCGCGUGUAGCAGUGAAAUGCGUAGAUAUGCGGAGGAACCACCGAUGGCGAAGGCAGCCUCCUGGGAUA